AUUGAACGCUGGCGGCAGGCCUAACACAUGCAAGUCGAACGAGUGGCGGACGGGUGUGUAUUAUCUGUGAAACUGCGCGAUGGAGAGGGGUAAAACAUGUAAACAGUAGCUAUUACAGCGUACCAGCGGGUGUACGCAGAUGGGAUUAGCUAGUAGGUGGGAUAAAGGCUCACCUAGGCGACGAUCCCUAGCUGGUCUGAGAGGAUGACCAGCCACACUGGAACUGAGACACGGUCCAGACUCCUACGGGAGGCAGCAGUGGGGAAUAUUGCACAAUGGGGGCAAGCCUGAUGCAGCCAUGCCGCGUGUAUGAAGAAGGCCUUCGGGUUGUAAAGUACUUUCAGCGAGGAGGCGUUACCCGCAGAAGAAGCACCGGCUAACUCCGUGCCAGCCGCCGCGGUAAUAC
rnacentral:rRNA from 1 species